GUAACAUUUAUGGUCCUGUUUCUUUAGUUGUGAAAGUUUAUAUAAGCAGAAUAUCUAGCUUUCAAGAUUACUGUGAGAACAGAAUGAAAUUAAAUAAUACUUGUGAGAGGCUUCCAUGUAUUUUCUACCUCAAUGCAAAUGUAAAAUAGCAUUAUCAGUCAUAUCUGUAAGUCAGAAAGGGCCAUAGCUAAAAUUUAGCCACAAGGACACAUGGAAUCUAAGAAGAUACACAUUACAGGACACGAGUGCCCCUGACUUCUCAUAAUCAAUGUCUCCUUGCUCUGAAAUCCUGCAGGAGAGCAAUUAGAUGAUGACAUCGUCACACAUGUUUAUGCCUCAAGAAAAAGGCCUGUGCUUCAGGCUUUUGUGGAAAAUAUACUGCAAGAGCUUCUUAUGACCCAAGAUCGGCAUUCACUUUGCGCAGCAUGCGGAAACAGUGCUGGAUCUCGGAGGCAUUCCCUGUCAACCUUGAUGUAGCUCUGAAUUCUGACCACACUUCACUCUUCAUUGAUAAUAAGCAAGUGAGGAAGAAGGCAGUGAGAUACGGUUACUCAGAGAGCCUCUGUAAAUUGUUUAAAGCUACAGCAGUUUUCUUUCAUAUUUAUUACUUAAGGCAACAGUCUAAAAUAAAGUUAGGAUUUUGCUGUUCCCUGUAUGCUUGUCUACUUACAUAGACCGUAAAUAAUCC
rnacentral:lncRNA from 1 species